CAGGAUGCAGUACUCUGAACAAACCAGGGAUUCCAGAAAAGACAUCUGUUUCCAUCAAGCACUAACAUGGAAUAAGAACAAAGAGGACGUGGCCUCAUGCUCUCAGGGGUCACUGAGACACCCAGCAUAUUUCCAAGAGUCUAAACAAGAACUGUUGACUAAUGACUUCCAUUGAACUUCCUCCUCGAGAUCCAAAGUUACAUCUGUCCUUCCUCCUCCUCCUUAGAAGAACCAGCUUUCCCAAGAUCCAAGAAGAAAACUCCUAAGAUCCAAGAAGAAAAUGAUAGGUUGGGAGAGGGAUGCUUCUAUGCAAUCAAACUAAUCCCAGUGAAAAUGAAAUCACAGUUAGGAGAAGAAGAAAGGACCAGAAUAGUUCAUGACUUGCCCUACCCCUUACUCUUUUGAUGUAAACAAUAUGAAAAUGCAAUUAUUUCACUAAGGAAAGCUCUUCAAGGUACAGUUCCUUUAAUAAUCAGUUCUGCUGGUAAGGGAACCAAAAAAAUCUCUGUACUUCCUCAGUGGAUUUUAAAUAUAUCAGUAACUCAUUUUGCCCCACUCCCCAUCAUCCAAAUUUAAACUAACCAAAGAAUUUGUGGGUGUAAAAUUACUGUCCUGGGUAGAGGCACUCCUGCACAGAAUAGUAACGUGCUUUUAUAGCAAAAGAAGAUCACGGAGUCUUUAGUAUCCUUGCUGAUUUAUUCAGGAAAAAAAUAUAUAUAUAUAUGUAUUGGGGGCUUGGGGGCCGAAGUUAAAGAUGUAUUUUACUCUUUGCAGUUCUACAAUUUCAUUCCUUGUAAAAGCACAGUGAAUCAGACUCAGUUGUCAAAUGAAAAGUAAACUUCAUCGCCUCUAGCAAUCAGAAUAAUUUAAUUAGUUUUAUUGGCUCUUAAGGCCUGUCACCUUAUUUAUUGGUUUUUCAGCUUUCUUCUCAUUUUCAAUUAGGCUUUAAAACAACAAAUGCAAAAUCAUUCACUAAAUUCAAGAUAAUUAAAACAAUAUUCUUUUUCCAGUUUGGAAACAUGGUAGAAUGCAUUUCAUCUGGGUACACUUCGGAGAGGUUAAAGUGUCAGAGCAGAUAAAAAGGACACUUAAUACACAC